GAUGAACGCUGGCGGCGUGCCUAAUACAUGCCAGUCGAGCGAACAGACGAGGAGCUUGCUCCUCUGACGUUAGCGGCGGACGGGUGAGUAACACGCGGAUAACCUACCUAUAAGACUGGGAUAACUUCGGGAAACCGGAGCUAAUACCGGAUAAUAUAUUGAACCGCAUGGUUCAAUAGUGAAAGACGGUUUUGCUGUCACUUAUAGAUGGAUCCGCGCCGCAUUAGCUAGUUGGUAAGGUAACGGCUUACCAAGGCAACGAUGCGUAGCCGACCUGAGAGGGUGAUCGGCCACACUGGAACUGAGACACGGUCCAGACUCCUACGGGAGGCAGCAGUAGGGAAUCUUCCGCAAUGGGCGAAAGCCUGACGGAGCAACGCCGCGUGAGUGAUGAAGGUCUUCGGAUCGUAAAACUCUGUUAUUAGGGAAGAACAAAUGUGUAAGUAACUAUGCACGUCUUGACGGUACCUAAUCAGAAAGCCACGGCUAACUACGUG
rnacentral:rRNA from 1 species